UACGUAGGGUGCGAGCGUUAAUCGGAAUUACUGGGCGUAAAGCGUGCGCAGGCGGUUCGUGAUGUCUGAUGUGAAAGCCCCGGGCUCAACCUGGGAAUUGCAUUGGAAACUAGCGGGCUGGAGUGUGGCAGAGGGGGGUGGAAUUCCACGUGUAGCAGUGAAAUGCGUAGAGAUGUGGAGGAACACCGAUGGCGAAGGCAGCCCCCUGGGCUAACACUGACGCUCAUGCACGAAAGCGUGGGGAGCAAACGGG
rnacentral:rRNA from 1 species